ACUGUGCCACUGCACUCCAGCAUGGGCAACGGAGUGAGGCUCUGUCUCAAAAAACAAAAAACUUUUGCUUACCAGAAUGGCUGUGGCAAAGCUUAUAAGAGAAAUUUAAAUUUGGGGGAAAAUGGUCUGAUAUAACUCAAUCUUUAUUAAUGGGAAGGUAAUGGUGCUUUUGAAAAAAGUUGUUUGAAUAACCAUUCUUGUUCUUUUUUUUAAGUUUAUGAUGUACAAGGAGUCCUGGACUGGCAGUGGGAAGUGGGUAUGGCUGCCAUUACUUGACUGGCCACCAACUUCAGUGCUCAUCACCUUCCUUUGGACCACAGAAAGAACUGAUGCCUGAGCCUCCAGGUUCUCCAAUCCAGCCUAAAUAAUGCAGCCAAAAUCAUUUUUCAAAUCACUCAACGACCUCUGAUUCUAGAUUCCUUGGCAAGGCAUUAAAGCUGUAUCCUAAAUAGCUUCCAAUCUAGACAUCAAUCCCAUUGUUCCUCUUCUCAGCUUUAGCCAUAAGGGAUCAACUGAACAUGCCGUGGUCCUCCUCUUGAUGUGUAGUUGCCCUUUGGUUCUGUCAUUCCUUACACUGUAGUCCCUCAAAAUUCCUCUUUCUCUUACCCUUUCUUCCAAUCUCCUCCUCAUAAAGUCUAAGCCUCCUUUUAAGGCUUAUCUCCAAGGCCAUCUCUAAGACAAUUUUUGGUCCCUCCUCACACUCUUAAAGUCACUUCUCCCUCCUUUCGGCCAGUACUUAACUACAUUUGGCCUUGUAUAAUAGCUUAUUGUAUAUAGUUCUUAAUUCUCCUUUCAGAAUCUUGGCUCCUUAGAAUGAUCCCCUUCACUCCUUUAUAUGUGAGAGAGGAGAAAGUAUCCAAGACAGGGUUUUCACGACACAUAAUCUUUCCUUUUUAAUUUGGGACAAGGAGCAUACUAUAUUCUGCAAACUGGACUUUUCCAAAGAUUCCGCAUUUCAGGCACUAA